UCUAACAAGGAGGUGCCAACUCUCUCAGCACGUCUUUCUAACUCUAAUAUUUGGUUUGUGCAUUUCAUAUAUAGGUGGAUUAGUAUUUGGAAUUGAUAUAAUCCAUAGGCAUAUUUCUUAUACAAUUGAAAAUGCAGAGUAGGGGCUGAGAUGUACACUAUAUAUGUUUAUACCCAUUUGGUUGUAAAGGUCAAUUGCAAAGAACACAUGAGGCUUACAUCCGAUAUAGAACAUAAUUGUGGUUCAUGGGUAAGAGACCAGGGGUACGAUCCUACAGCGGCAGCUCUCCGGGGGUGGUGGCGAGGAAUCGGUUGAUAGGAUGUUGGGCAAGAUCGAAUUUCCCAACCUACAUGAACAUCUUAUCCUUUUAAAGGACUUAUAGUCAUUCGUGGCUUGGAUUCAACUAAUAUGUGAGUUAUUCUCUUUUCCAGUUUCUCUCUGAAUCUACAAAUCUGUGUGAUAGUUGAUGCAGUUCAUUCCCUUGAAAAUAUCAUCUGGUUAUCAAGAAGGCCACCAUAGUUGAUGUCAGUGGUGACUGGGGACAUGCUACUUUAGCGAGAGCUCGCAGUGAGCAUGCGUGUCAGACCUUGGCUUGAGCAGAGAUGAGCAGCAUGUUCUAAAUAAUGUGUGUCAGACCGCCGCUCGCACCGCCGCGGCGCGCCGUGAUGUCGCCGGAAGGAUCCGCCGGUCGAGCUCCGUCUGUCCUGCACGUUUCUACGCCCGUGAGCUUCUCCUCCACGAUCCCCACUUGCUCCUGCUGCUUCGUAAAUGAUCUUACCGAAGCGACAUCAUCAAAUCUCGUCUCAACAAAGGAGCCAUAAGACGUAGAAAUAAGAGCAUUCAUGGUAUGAACUAAUCUCCUUAAUCACCGUAUCCACCUCACCCGAAUGGAACAAGGAGAAGCUUGCUGCCUUUUCUUUUUGGUACAUCGAUUUUUGUAAAUCAUGCUGCUCGAUUCAUGGCCCCCUCCUAGCAAGAAUUCAGAGAUAGGGCCAAAGUGACAAUCAGAUUCUUUCCAUGAUGCUAGAAAGAGACAAGAAAAUAACAAAGAGGUUAUGGCAUUGUAAAAUUUCCUAAAUGAUAAGUAUCUUCACUAGGCUCCAACAUGUUGGCCACCCUGCCGAAAACCAUCAACGAGGCGGAUCAUAUUGAGUGGUGUAAGAUCGAUGAUUCUAUGAGAAAUCCUCUGGCUGGCUUCUGAAGUGAGCGUGUGAAGUGAGCACCAGAACAUGGGACUUCUGGAUUGUCCCUAAAUCCUGGGCAGCAACUCUACAGGCAGAACUGGCCAUCGAUUUUUACUGGCCAUCGAUGGCCCAAAGAAUUUCUUCUGAAUUGGUUAAAGUUCAGGUUGAGCUGGUUGAGCCUCCAAAAUAUGCAGUCGCGGGGGAGAAGCUGACCUUUGCUGGGUACUCCGGAUGAGCGUCGUAAGAUGAUGAGGAAGCAAUCCUAGACAAAAAAAAAAACAUGUUGCACUAGGCAGGUGAUGCCGUGUUACAAACAGAAUCUAAGUUUGCUUGCCACUAUGAACACCGGAACUCUGUUAGGUUCUUUGACCGUGCAAUGGUGCUUCUUUGGAAACUCCAUAUUAGGCAAUGUCACUGGCAUCUUAUCUGAUUGCUGCAAUAUGCCUUUCUUUUUAUAGAGUGACAUGUUGUUUCUACGAAAAAUCUGAACAUGCUCUUUACAGUAUAUAAAGAAAAUGCAUGUUGCAUGGUCUAAGGGAAGUGAUC